UAUUGGUCAAUGGGCGAGAGUCUGAACCAGCCAAGUCGCGUGAAGGAUGAAGGAUCUAUGGUUCGUAAACUUCUUUUAUAAGGGAAUAAAGUCCGCCACGUGUGGUGUUUUGUAUGUACCUUAUGAAUAAGGAUUGGCUAACCCCGUGCCAGCAGCCGCGGUAAUACGGAGGAUCCGAGCGUUAUCCGGAUUUAUUGGGUUUAAAGGGUGCGUAGGUGGUUUAUUAAGUCAGCGGUGAAAGUUUGUGGCUCAACCAUAAAAUUGCCGUUGAAACUGGUUAACUUGAGUAUAUUUGAGGUAGGCGGAAUGCGUGGUGUAGCGGUGAAAUGCAUAGAUAUCACGCAGAACUCCAAUUGCGAAGGCAGCUUACUAAACUAUAUCUGACGUUGAGGCACGAAAGCGUGGGUAGCAAACAGG
rnacentral:rRNA from 1 species